AAUCUACCUAUAAGCGGGGGAUAACAUUCGGAAACGGGUGCUAAUACCGCAUAAUAUCUUCUUCCGCAUGGAAGAAGAUUGAAAGACGGCUCUGCUGUCACUUAUAGAUGACCUUGCGGUGCAUUAGUUAGUUGGUGGGGUAAUGGCCUACCAAGACGAUGAUGCAUAGCCGACCUGAGAGGGUGAUCGGCCACAUUGGGACUGAGACACGGCCCAA
rnacentral:rRNA from 1 species